AAGGUCCUAGCUUAAUUAAAGCGUCUGAGUUGCAUUCAGAAAAUGUGGGGUAGUAUCCUACGGGUCUUA
rnacentral:tRNA from 1 species